UACGUAGGGAGCAAGCGUUGUCCGGAAUCAUUGGGCGUAAAGCGCGCGUAGGUGGCCUCAUAAGUCCGCUGUGAAAGUCAAAGGCUCAACCUUUGAAAGCCGGAGGAUACUGUGAGGCUAGAGUACGGAAGAGGCGAGUGGAAUUCCUGGUGUAGCGGUGGAAUGCGCAGAUAUCAGGAGGAACACCAAUAGCGAAGGCAGCUCGCUGGGACGUUACUGACACUGAGGCGCGAAAGCGUGGGGAGCGAACAGG
rnacentral:rRNA from 1 species